UGAGAGAUAUAAAUAGUGAAGCACAGGGAAUGUUUAGGGCACUGAAACUGUUCUAUCUGAUACUGCAACGAUGCACACAUGUCACUGCACAUUUGUCAAAGUGUAUAGAACACACAACACAAUGAGCAAACCCUAAAGUCAUCUAUUUACACUAUUUAAUAAUAAUAUAUCAAUAUUAACCCAGUCCAGGCAUGGUGACUCAUGCCUGUAAUCCCAACCCUUUGGGAGGCCAAGGUGGGUGGCUGACCUGAGGUCAGGAGUUCAAGACCAGCCUGGUCAACGUGGUGAAAUCCCGUCUCUACUAAAAAUACAAACUUAGAUGGGCACAGUGGCACGUGAGAGGCUGACGUGGGAGAAUCACUAGAACCUGGGACGUGGAGGUUGCAGUGAACAUUUUAGAAAAAAAAAUAGGAGAAAACCUGUGACUUUGGCUUAGACAAAGAUUUCUUAAAUACGACACCAAAAAUAACAUCCAUAAAAGAACAACUUGAUAAAUUAGUUUUCACCACAAUUAAAACUGUCUGUUCUUCAAAGGAUACUCUUACAGAUACUGUCAAGAGAAUGAAAUGACAGGCCAUAGACUAAGAGAAUACAUUUUCAAAACAUAUAUACAGUAAAGAAGUUUACUCAGUAAAUAUAAAAAAACUCUCAAACUCGAUACUAAAAAAUAAAUAACCUAAUUUUUUUAAUGGGCAGAAGAUUUAAACAGAUACUUCACCAAAAAAGAUGCAUGUUUUGCAACCAAGCAAAUGAAAUAUCAUUAGUCAUAGGAAAAAUCAAAUUAAAACCACAAUGAGAGGGUAGUAUGCACCUAA
rnacentral:lncRNA from 1 species